ensembl:snoRNA
UUGCAAGCUAUCCAGCAUGCUUAGGUUUAGGGUGAUUCUGUGCAUUCCUACAGUGCUUGCUAAAGUGUUCUGAAAUGGUUUGAGGCCUUGCCCUAUCCCUCAGAGCAUAAUCAUAGACAUUUCAGACAAUU